rnacentral:rRNA from 1 species
UUUUUUUUUUUUUUAUACGACCGUACCGCAAACCGACACUGGUGCGCGAGAUGAGUAUUCUAAGGCGCUUGAGAGAACUCAGGAGAAGGAACUCGGCAAAUUGACACCGUAACUUCGGAAGAAGGUGUGCCUUAUUAGUGUGAAGUGAACAACGGAGCAUGAAUGGGUUGCAAAAAAUCGGUGGCUGCGACUGUUUAUUAAAAACACAGCACUCUGCAAACACGAAAGUGGACGUAUAGGGUGUGACGCCUGCCCGGUGCUGGAAGAUUAAAUGAUGGGGUGCAAGCUCUUGAUUGAAGUCCCAGUAAACGGCGGCCGUAACUAUAACGGUCCUAAGGUAGCGAAAUUCCUUGUCGGGUAAGUUCCGACCUGCACGAAUGGCGUAACGAUGGCCACACUGUCUCCUCCUGAGACUCAGCGAUUUGAAAUGUUUGUGAUGAUGCAAUCUCCCCGCGGAAAGACGGAAAGACCCCAUGAACCUUUACUGUAGCUUUGUAUUGGACUUUGAACAGAUCUGUGUAGGAUAGGUGGGAGGCUUUGAAGCAGGGUCGCUAGAUCUUGUGGAGCCAACGUUGAAAUACCACCCUGGUGUGUUUGAGGUUCUAACCUAGGUCCAUUAUCUGGAUCGGGGACAGUGCAUGGUAGGCAGUUUGACUGGGGCGGUCUCCUCCCAAAGCGUAACGGAGGAGUUCGAAGGUACGCUAGUUACGGUCGGACAUCGUGACGAUAGUGCAAUGGCAUAAGCGUGCUUAACUGCGAGACUGACAAGUCGAGCAGAUGCGAAAGCAGGACAUAGUGAUCCGGUGGUUCUGUAUGGAAGGGCCAUCGCUCAACGGAUAAAAGGUACUCUGGGGAUAACAGGCUGAUACCGCCCAAGAGUUCAUAUCGACGGCGGUGUUUGGCACCUCGAUGUCGGCUCAUCUCAUCCUGGGGCUGUAGCCGGUCCCAAGGGUAUGGCUGUUCGCCAUUUAAAGAGGUACGUGAGCUGGGUUUAAAACGUCGUGAGACAGUUUGGUCCCUAUCUUCCGUGGGCGCUGCAGAUUUGAGGAAGCCUGCUCCUAGUACGAGAGGACCGGAGUGGACACACCUCUGGUGUAUCGGUUGUCACGCCAGUGGCAUUGCCGAGUAGCUAAGUGUGGAAGAGAUAACCGCUGAAAGCAUCUAAGCGGGAAACUCGUUUCAAGAUGAGAUCUGCCGGGGCCUUGAGCCCCCUGAAGAGUCGUUCAAGACCAGGACGUUGAUAGGUCAGGUGUGGAAGCUAAAAGA